AUGCUUUGGUCCGAAUUUCCAGUUCUGGUUCAAACUGCACUGCAGAAGACGCGAGACGGAGUUUGGACGUCAGCCAAAGGGAGGGUCGGUCCACGUUUGUACCCGCUCAAGAUGUUUGCCUGCUCUCUGGGAAGCCGGGGAGGCUGUCAGCGGCAGUGGCGGGCGGCAGGCGGCGGGCGCGGCCACUCUCCGGCCAUAUGCAGAGACAAAAUGAACAUGAGGGGCGGGCGGGAAAGUCUUACAGCAUAAAGCUUCUGGAAAUCGACUAAAAAGCGCAGAUUUUUAUAAUAAACUUCAAUCAGGAGCUGAUGUGAGACAAAAUGACUCUCUUCCCAGCUUUCUUGCGACCUCACUUGUCAAAAAUAAAAGCCUGUGUUGCACAAAGUUGCUCAAUAAUGAACAAAAUCCUAUAUAUUAUGUCAGUUCCUUUAAAAGGUCACAUAGUGUAAUCAUAUUGAAAGCUGGCAGUUCAUUUAGAAGCUGUGAAUACAUACACAAGCGCUCAUGCAUAUACAGUAGCCGCCUGUCUGUGAAGUGCAUUCAUUCACUCUCUCUCACACACACACACACACACACACACACACACACACACACACACACACACAGAGAUUUCAGCGCUCAUUAGCAUUUUAAAGAGGAAUUCCACUCGUUCACCAUUUAGUACCUGCCAGUCGGCAUUUGUGAGCAUGAUCGACUCUUCCUAAAGCAACCCACUGAAGAAGUGAAACCUGUGAUGUCAUUAACAUUUAAAUUAUAAAGCUGCUACAUGAUGUGUGCGUGAGAGAGUGAUUCUGUGGGCAGACAAAAGGUGAUUGAGUUGUAUUUUUUACCACCGAAUGAGCUCCGGACGUGUAUAAAUAUAUCAACCUGUGCCCUCAGUCACUUUUCUGCUUCUCUAAGGUUAGUAGUGAUGCAGAAAUUCAUGAUUUUACAUCUUAUUGACAAUUUCAAAUGUUCUUCAUCCUUGAAAUCAACUGUACAAGACCCUCCAAAAAAUAACAUUAGGUCGUAACUAAAUUAAAAAUGUAUUUUUAGUUCUCUGUUAUGUGAUAACCCUAAUUACAAAUUGAAAUUGAAGGUCAGUUAGAGUAAGAGGCAGAAUUUAAAACUGGUGCACGUAGCAUCUCUCAUUUCACUCUAAGUUCUGACCCGAAGAAAGAUUUUGCGGCAAACAAAAGUUUAAAGGAUAAGUGGCUGGAGGGAUGUGAAUAAGAUUUAAAUGAGGAGAGGUUGGUUGGAUUGACCUAAAAUAUUUAUACUGCAGAGUAAAAAGUACAAAAAUCCACUUACUAGUGUUUUCUAGAGCUUUCAGACUCAUCUCAUGGUCUUCAGCAGCAACUGGAGUUUGCCCAUCUGUCAUAAAAAUGGCUCAGUUGUCAUCGUGUGACCUAAAUAUGGAAAUGAGUAAAAACAAACAGGUAAGAGAGGGGUUUUUUGUGUCAAACUACAACAUUGAUGCUCAAGAAUUAACUUUCAGGCUCAGUUUUUAUGAGAUACAAAUAUUGAAGAUAAAUAAUUCAAAGACACACAAAACAGUUAAAAACCUUUUUAUUUCAAGUGUUCUUAUGUAAGACAAUUACAUAAUUAUCCAAUUAAAAAUCUAUUUUGGUUUGCACAUCAGAUGUUAUUUUCAUGUCACAUUAACUAGUACAAAAUGUCAUCAUUAAAGGAUUCAAUGUGUUUACAGAUUGCAACCAACUGAAUACUGAAGAAACUACGGUGGCCCUACCUAGAGCCAGUGUAUGCUUUGUCCGGUCUGGGCUACUGUAGAAACAUAGUGGUUCAAAAUGACACAAAUGAAAACAUACCUAUGAAUAUUAAAUUAAAUUUUUCAUGCCAAUAGAUCCUUUCAAAUGUUACACUGGAGUAGUUUUGUAGAUUUGGCCAUCCUUUCUGUUGGACAUGAUGACAAUGCUGAUAUACCUGAAAAGAAGUCACAUGUGGCAACGCGAGCAAUUAGAUGAUCAGACAGUUUGAUCAAACUAAUUCGGAAGAUAAAACAUUAUACAUAAACAUCUAUUACAGCCUACAGACCAACUUCUUGCAUCAACUUUGACGUAAUGUAGUUGUGCUAAGAUUUAAGUUGCACAAAACCAUCAUUAUUUACUAUCCAAUGUUUACUGAAAUCAUGUGCUCUCAUUAAAUCAAUCACAAAAUGAUUGUUUUUCAGCCCAUUUAAAAACUUCUUUACUCACUUUGACAGAAAUACAUUUAACAAACGUAACCACUUAGCACACAAACAG
ensembl:lncRNA